GAGGGCGGCCCUACCCCUAAUAUAGCGUGGUGGGAGAGCCGAAGGAAUACUUAUUGAAGUAGUCACAACGACGACAUCACUAGCUAGGCCGCAUAUUCCAUCGCCAGAUCCGAACCAAGCGAAGUGAAGGAAGACGGGUGUCCUUUUCGUACACUGAGUGUGGUGGGUGAGUCUUCGUGCUGUGAAAACCUAUAAUUUUGACGUGGUGUUGUAUAUUGCUGUGGGCUGCUGUGUAUUGCCGUGUGUCCUGUCAGAUAAACCCCCGCCUUCACGCACUUCGUCGCGGGAGGACAAGGAGACUGCUGGUCCUAGCCUAGUUCAGUACAGUAUAUGUUGUGAGCGUGCUUCAGAUCUCCGGAGAUAGCAUGGUACGCUGUGUCCAGCCCAGAGGUGAGAGCCAUUCAAAGCAAACUAACUGUGCUAUUGUGCCCAAGUUGAUACCUGUGGAGAGAAAAGGAAAGAGAGAGUGAGUAACACAAGGAGAAACAGAGGAAACCUGUACUUACAGUACGCUGUGUCCAGCCCAGAGGUGAAAGCCAUCCAAAGCAGAGUAACUGUGCUUUGUGUCCAAGUUGAUACCUGUGGAGAGGAAAGGAAAGAGAGAUUGAUACCUGUGGAGAGAAAAGGAGAGAGAGUGGGUAACACGAGGAGAGACCGAGGAAAACUGUACUUACGCCGCUACCUGUGGAGAAAGAGAAAGCGAGUGAGCACCCAAGGAACGAACUGUGUGAACCAGUACUUACCGUGAGCUGUAUUCAGCGAAGAGGAGG
ensembl:lncRNA